UACGAAGGGGGCUAGCGUUGCUCGGAAUCACUGGGCGUAAAGCGCACGUAGGCGGAUUGCUAAGUCAGGGGUGAAAUCCUGGAGCUCAACUCCAGAACUGCCUUUGAUACUGGCGACCUUGAGUCCGGGAGAGGUGAGUGGAACUGCGAGUGUAGAGGUGAAAUUCGUAGAUAUUCGCAAGAACACCAGUGGCGAAGGCGGCUCACUGGCCCGGUACUGACGCUGAGGUGCGAAAGCGUGGGGAGCAAACAGGGAUUAAGAA
rnacentral:rRNA from 1 species